rnacentral:lncRNA from 1 species
GGAACAUAGAACACCUGUACUCCCAACACACGCACACGCGUUUCAGUGCCUUAACCCAAUACGGUGUUCACCCUCAUAACACCCUAAUGCAGGUGUUCCUGGUUGGCAGGUGACUCUUCUUCAUGGUGACCAAGGCUCUCUACCUUGUGGCUCUAUGAGGGCCUUAGUGUGCCCUGUACUGUAGUCAACAUCCCUGAAAGCAUAUACAAUGGCCCCCGUGCAGAAGAAGAUUCCGUCGAGCCAAUAGAGAGCAGUGAUUCCGUUAGGGAUAGUGAAAGUCGUCCUACACAAUAACCCUCCUCUCUUCUCCCUCACACCACCCACGAAGGUUUUCAAAGAGCUAAUGAGCUGAGCGCCCCCACUGAACAGGCCCCCACUGAACAGAAAUCUACCGGUUUCUCCCUUGAGCGCCCAGGCUCCAGUCGACUCCAGGGGAGCAUUCUGGGAGAGGUGGCCAGCAGAGGCCGGAUCCUGGCCACCUGGAGGCCUGAUCACACCAACAGGCGGCCCCUCCCCCACCUACGCCGGGCCCAGCUGUCUGCGGCUUCAAACACUAGCCCCUUCCGCUCAGACUCCCUCAUAAGUUACGUGUGUGUGCUGGGCCUAGGCCUGGCCAGGGCCACCCGGAGCUUUCAGCAGGAUGUAAUCAGGGCUGAGAUGAGCCCCUCCCUCCUGAGACCUGGAGUCAGGCUCUGGCAGAAGGUCAUUGUUUCAUGCCGGAACCCUAUGUGGGGAGCGGAAAGCCCGCCUGAGCCAACUGACCGUAGAGCCGGGUCACCUGGGUGACCAGCUGGUGCAGCCUGCUCAUGGUACAGAUGGACAAACUGAGGUCCCAGGUGCAACGAAGGAAUGAAUACCGAUGCACGCCCAUGGGGCUUAUAUGCCUAUUUUACAGAUGGAAAAAUCAAGGUUCGGAAGCUCUAUGAGCCUGGAAGAGGCUCAUGGCAGGUAAGCGGCAGAGCCGGCGUUCCAACCCCAGCACAGUGACACAACUGUGCCUUUUGUCGGGGAUUCUCUUUCCCUCGGCUUCUCUAGCCUUCCUUUGGGGCUUUGCCUGGCUGAGUUUUGGGACAGGGAGGGGGAUUUCAGGGAGCGAACUGAGCAGUGUAGCAGGUGCGUCUCAGGCCAGCAAUUGAGAUGAGCAAGAAAUAAACAUUUAUUUUUCUGUUCUCUUUACUGUCCA